UACGAAGGGGGCUAGCGUUGUUCGGAAUUACUGGGCGUAAAGCGCGUGUAGGCGGGUCUUUAAGUCAGGGGUGAAAUGCCAGGGCUCAACUUGGAACUGCCUUUGAUACUGGAGACCUUGAGUCCGGGAGAGGUGAGUGGAAUUGCGAGUGUAGAGGUGAAAUUCGUAGAUAUUCGCAAGAACACCAGUGGCGAAGGCGGCUCACUGGCCCGGAACUGGACGCUGAGACGCGAAAGCGUGGGGAGCAAACAGG
rnacentral:rRNA from 1 species